AGUGAACGCUGGCGGCAGGCCUAACACAUGCAAGUCGAACGGCAGCACAGUAAGAGCUUGCUCUUAUGGGUGGCGAGUGGCGGACGGGUGAGGAAUACAUCGGAAUCUACUCUUUCGUGGGGGAUAACGUAGGGAAACUUACGCUAAUACCGCAUACGACCUACGGGUGAAAGCGGAGGACCUUCGGGCUUCGCGCGAUUGAAUGAGCCGAUGUCGGAUUAGCUAGUUGGCGGGGUAAAGGCCCACCAAGGCGACGAUCCGUAGCUGGUCUGAGAGGAUGAUCAGCCACACUGGAACUGAGACACGGUCCAGACUCCUACGGGAGGCAGCAGUGGGGAAUAUUGGACAAUGGGCGCAAGCCUGAUCCAGCCAUGCCGCGUGGGUGAAGAAGGCCUUCGGGUUGUAAAGCCCUUUUGUUGGGAAAGAAAAGCAGUCGGUUAAUACCCGAUUGUUCUGACGGUACCCAGAGAAUAAGCACCGGCUAACUUCGUGCCAGCCGCCGCAGUAAAAC
rnacentral:rRNA from 1 species